CUAACUUCCUCAUUAGGAGUGUGUCACCGUUUAAGGAAUUGUGCCGCAAGUCUGCAGCUUCUUCUCUUUCUCCUUUCAAAAGAAAAAUAGCUGCAGCCAUCGCUCCACACUGCAUCUCUUUGCCCUUCGUCCUCUCUGUUGAUCAUGGAUAAAGGCUGGAUGCAUGAACAAAAGUUCUCCAAAAAAUAUGUUGAGGGUGUCCAAUCUUUUAUGCGACUUGUUCGGUCUCACUUUGAUCGAAAAUCUAAAGUUCGAUGCCCAUGCCAAGACUGUUUAAAUGUAAUUUUUCAAACGCAAGAAAUAAUGCAUGACCACCUAUUGAUCCAAGGAAUUAUGGGAACUUACGUGCAAUGGAUACACCAUGGGGAACAAUUACAAAGGAGAGAUAACAAUGAUGCGAUUUACAAUGAAGAUGAAAAUGAAGAACAUGACAAUGAUGAUGGAAUUCACACUAUGUUAGAAGAAGCCAGUGGAAGACCGUUUGCCAAUUUUUCAGAGAAGACCACAACUGGUAGUAAUAUAUGUGGUAAUAUGAGUGAGAAGGAAGCUAAAAAGUUUGACAAAUUACUGGAAGAAGCUGAACGCGAACUAUAGCCAGGAUGUAAGAAAUUCUCGAAGCUUUCGUUUCUUGUGAAGUUGCUACACUUGAAAGUGUACAAUCAAUGGAGUAAUAAAUCGUUUGAUAUGUUGCUGGAGUUACUAAAGGAGGCGUUUCCUAAUGGUGAGACACUUCCUAACUCAUAUUAUGAUGCUAAAAACAUGCUGCAAGGUUUGGGAUUAGGAUACAUUUCGAUCCAUGCUUGCAAAAAUGAUUGUGUGUUGUACUGGGCUGAACAUAAAGAUAAACAAGAGUGUCCACAUUGUGGUACUUCGAGGUGGAAAAUUGAUAAUGGAAGGAAUAAAAAGAUUCCUCAUAAAGUAUUGCGCUAUUUUCCGUUAAAGCCGAGACUUCAAAGGUUAUUUAUGUCUAAAAAAACAAGUGUGGACAUGAGGUGGCAUAAAGAAAAACAUCUUGAUGAAGAGAAUGUGUUACGGCAUCCCGCUGAUUCUGAAGCGUGGAAAGAGUUUGACAAGAAUCAUAAGUGGUUUGCACAAGAACCUCGUAAUAUAAGACUCGGCCUUGCAACUGAUGGUUUUAAUCCAUUCGGUAACAUGAGCACAUCGUAUAGUAUGUGGCCUGUCAUUCUCGUUCCUUAUAAUCUUCCUCCUUGGAAAUGUUUUAAGGACCCAUUCAUGAUGAUGUCAUUGCUUAUUCCUGGUCCUCAAGCACCUGGAAAGGAUAUUGAUGUUUAUUUGCGUUCUUUGAUUGAUGAUUUGAAAGAGUUAUGGAGUGAUGGUGUAGAGACACUUGAUGCGUCAACUGGGGAGUGCUUUAAGAUGCAUGCCGCUGUUUUAUGGACCAUAAAUGACUUUCCAGCUUAUGGUAAUUUAUCUGGAUGGAGCACUAAGGGAUACAUGGCAUGUCCUACUUGCAAUAAGGAUGCACCUUCACAGAGGGUAAGAAGUAAAAUUUGUUACAUGGGUCACCGUCGGUAUCUUGAAGCUAGCCACCCAUGGAGAAGAAGCAAGAAAUUUGAUGGGAAGAUAGAAAAAAGAAUAAAACCAAAAGAGCUCUCAGGAGAUGAUGUCUUGCAAUAAUUGGAUUUACUCAGUACUUAUAAACCAGGAAAACACUCAAAUAAUAAGAAAAAUAAACGUGUUCCUGAAGAGUUGAAUUGGGUGAGGAGAAGUAUUUUAUUUGAGUUACCAUAUUGGAAGAGCUUGAAGUUGCGGCAUAAUUUAGAUGUCAUGCACAUAGAAAAGAACAUUUGUGAGAGUAUUCUGGGGACUUUAUUAAAUAUUGAUGGGAAAACUAAGGACACAUAUAAAGCAAGACAAGAUCUUAAGGAUAUGAACAUAAGAAAAGAACUAUGGUUGCAACAUGAUGGUUCUAGUUGUACAAUGCCAGCUGCUUGUUAUAAUAUGUCAAAAAAAAGAGAAAAAAAAGUUUUGGGCAUUUGUAAAAGAUGUUAAAUUUCCUGAUGGUUAUGCUUCAAAUAUCUCAGGGUGUGUAAGUGAGGAUGAUGGUAAAAUAAGUAGACUCAAAAGUCAUGACUAUCAUGUCCUGUUACAACGAGUGCUACCUAUUGCUAUUCGUGGAUUUGAAAAUAAAAAUGUCUCUUCAUGAUUGAUUGAGUUAGGCGAUUUCUUCCAACGAUUAUGUUGUAAGACAUUGAGACGAGAUGACUUAGAACAACUUGAAAGGGAUAUAAUUGUUAUAUUAUGUAAGCUUGAGAUGAUCUUUCCACCUGCUUUUUUCGAUGUUAUGGUACAUUUGGCUGUGCAUUUACCACGAGAGGCUAUGUAUGGGGGACCAGUACAAUAUCGUUGGAUGUACAAAAUUGAGAGGUUCUUGUGCAAGCUUAAGGGUUAUGUGCGAAACAAGGCACGACCAGAAGGUUCUAUUGCAGAAGGCUAUAUUAUUGAUGAAUGUUUGACAUUUUGCUCUAUGUAUCUUACCGGCAUCGAAACUAGAUUUAAUCGUGAAGAUCGAAAUGAUGAUGGAUCUACCAAGAAAGAUGAACAUGUUCUAGACAUAUUUUCAAAGAGUGCUAGACCAUUUGGAGAUGGAGAUUAUGAUGCCAUACCAAGGAAAGAUCUUGAUAUGGCUCGGUGGUAUGUGUUGAAUAAUUGCGAAGAAGCAGAAUCUUUUCUUCAAGAGCAUAAAGAAGAGUUGGUGAAACAAGAUGUUGGGAAUAUAGAAGAGAAACACAGAGAACAAUUUCCUUUAUGGUUUAAAAGGAAAAUUUUGAAAUUAUAUAAUAAGGACAAGUCAAUGUCUAUCAAGAAAUUAUAUCCUUUGGCAAUGGAAUCUGAUGUGCGUGGAAGAAAACAUACUGGCUGUGUUAUAAAUGGUGUUAGGUAUCUUAUUCAACGACGCGAUGAAUUACGUAAAAGUCAGAAUUGUGGUAUAGUUGUUGCAGGCUAUCAUGAAAAUGAGUUGAUUGAUUUUUAUGGUAUUAUAACUGACAUCAUUGAGUUAGAGUAUGUUGAUGAGAAUCAAGUUUUUCUAUUUAAAUGCAAGUGGUUUGAUCUUCGCAAGAAAACAGGGAUGCAAAAAGAUAAACAUUUUACGAGCAUAUGUGUUAAAAGAUUUUGGUAUGAACAUGAUUCUUUCGUACUAGCUACUCAAGCAAAACAAGUAUUUUACAUUGAUGACCCAAAAUUGGGGGAAAAUUGGCGAAUUGUGCUCAAAUUUCAAGAUAGACACUUAUAUGAUGUCCCGGAGAAGGAAAAUUCAGAGACAGAAAGUGAUGAGUCGCAUAUUACAAAUAAUGAUGUGUAUCAAGACAUGUCACUUGAAAGUAAUUCGAUUGUCAAUGAUACGGUGGAUAUGUUGAGUAAACUACAUAGAGAUGAUGUUGAACCCAUUACCCUGGAUACAAAUGUAAUUGAAUUGGGGGCUCAAACUGAACCAGAAGUUGAAGUUGAUUAUAUCGAAGAAGAUUCUGACCAAGAGGAUGACACUAUGGUAGAGUACAUAAGUGAUAAUGAGGAGAAUGAAGGUAAUAAUAGUACUAAUGACGAUGAAGCUGAUAGCACAGGUGAUGGCGACGACAUUGGCUUGUGAUGUAAUCUCAUAAUAGUAAGGUAUAACAUCCCUUAUGUGUCCUCAGCCAGUGGUGGUGACAUGAUCCUCCAAGUGAUGUAGAUGGUGAACCUAUAUCACCCAUGGACACAAGAAGAUCAUCCGGUGGUUUAAGGGGUUGAAGUUGGUUAAAAUAGUGCAAAACUUUUCUUGGUUAAAAUAGUGCAAAAGUUUUCUUGCCUAAAACAGUGCAAAGCUCUCUGCCAGUUACAUGGAGUGCAGGCACAAAGAAGUCCCAAAGUGUUUUGUGGUUCAGAUGGUUUGCCUUAUUUUGCGUCCAGGUAAGUGUUAGACCAUUCACCUCCUAUUUAUUUCACUGUAACUCCCAGUUCCCCGACUCCCCUACACCUUUCACGACCACCAGGUAUGCUCCUCUUCUCUUCUCUUUAUCUCCCUCUCCCUCGCUUUCUCUUUGCUGGCAGAAUUUUGUUUUCAUCAUUUCUAUACUUGUGGUUUCUUUGUGUGGAAUUUAGAUAACAAAUCGUGAGAAUCUGGUGCUUCUGUUUGAUGGUGAUGAAUAUGUGAUUGUUGAACUAUAAUUCCCACUUUUUGGGAGGGUAACUCUAUUAUCCCGUUUUCACAAAAAACUUGGUUAAAGUUAUGCACAUAACCAGUUCGAUAUAUUGUCUGAAAGACGAUUUCAUUCGCCAAUGAAGUCUAGGUAACCAGGUGAAAUUAGGAGAUGCGUAGAAGUGCGUUUUGGGUAGUGCCGGUUGGUUUUAAAGUGUUCUGUUAAGAUUUGACCAAUUUAUAAGGAAAUGAAAAUUGGGAGAGGAAAAGUGUUACACGGAGCAGUAUGCUAAUCUAUAGCCAUGAAUUUUGAAUUGCUGAAUUGCAUUCUUUUAUUUGUUUUCUUGAGUUGAGCCUUUGAUAAACAUGAUCUUCAUUUUAUUGUAUGAUCAAUGAAUUCUGUCAGUAAACUGAAUGGUCAAUCACUGUGGUAAGCAUCUGCAUGUAGCUUACGGCGAUUCUGGAAUUCAUUGUUUCCGGAAAAAUGUGCACGGUUAAGGGCACAUGAAAAGUUUAUGUGCGCCAACUUUUGAAAUUCUGUUUUCUGAAAAUAAGUAGACAAUGAAGAGUGAUGUGCCAAAAUUCACUUGUUUCUGAAGGUCCUUUUUAGAUGCUACUAAUUUUAAUUUCCCAUUCUGACAAAGAUGGUCAUCAUAGGUGACAGAGUGUACUAUCCUUUAAAAGAAAAGUAUUACAAUUCUAAAGUGAAAUCGUGUCUAUAUGUAAUAAUGUAAAUGUGUGGUAUACCUUUUCCACUUAAUAUAAUCUGAGUAAGACAACAGGAAUGGAGGAAGGCAUAAACAAUUAGUCUACUGCUUCUUGGAUUGUGUUUUGCUAGUAGUUUUUAUGCUUUAGAUCCUAGCUUCUGUGGGAGUAAUAUCUCCAUCCGUGCAGGAAACUCUUAUUGUUCACAUAGCUUGUUUUAAUAUUUGAGGAUCUAGUACAUCUUACAACAUGUUUGAGGUCAAAAUAUAUGCUUGUGAGGAUUGGUUUGCACCUGAUGCUUGUAUGGUGAGCCUAGAAAAACAUCCUUGGGAGUUGGGAGAGUUGUAGCAUCUCACUACUUAUGCUAUAUUUUGCUUCCCUGUAGCAUUACUUUAAAGAUAUCAAAGUAGGAUAAUGUUUUAAAUACCUGUUUCUAUAAUAUAUAAAUCGCUAUAUUGAACUUUAGCUAAUUUUCUUUUGUUUGUGGAAAUACAGGACCAACAACAAGCUUGUAAGACAAGACGAAGCAGAACCAUUCAUGGGCUUGGGUCGUUUUGGUAUGUUAGUUGUAAUUUUGUAAUUUUGUCUUCUGGUUCGUUGUGACUAAACUGUAGGUUGAGUAGAGAUAAAUAAUACAAUUGUUACUAAUUGUUCUAACUAUUAGUGACAAAAAUUAAAGGCACAAUUAAAUAUAAAAUUCUGUAGCUAAAGUUUGGAAUGAUUAACUACAAAUUCUAAUUUGUCCCUAAUGUAUCAACAUAGUUUUUGCGACAAAAGUUUUCGUCUCCAAAUUUUAGUGGUAUAUUAGUUAAAAUUUUGUGUAUAGGCAUUUUAUCUCUUUU